UCGCUUUGGCAGCACAUAUACUAAAAUUGAAAUGAUACAGAGAAGAUUAGCAUGAGCCUUGCACAAGGAUGACAUGCAAAUUUGUAAAGUAUUCCACAUUUUU
rnacentral:snRNA from 2 species